GGUUGGGUGGCACAAUUGGUUAGCGCGUGGAGCUAAUAUUCAAUGAUUUGAAUUCGUAACUCCAAGGUUGUGGGUUCGAGACCCAUCCUGACCA